rnacentral:rRNA from 1 species
ACGGAGGGUGCAAACGUUGUUCGGAAUCACUGGGCGUAAAGGGCGCGUAGGCGGACUCGUAAGUCGGGAGUGAAAACUCGGGGCUCAACCCCGAGCCUGCUUCUGAAACUGCGAGUCUUGAGGACCGGAGAGGAAAGUGGAAUUCCUAGUGUAGCGGUGGAAUGCGUAGAUAUCGAGAGGAACACCGGUGGCGAAGGCGGCUUUCUGGACGGUGAUUGACGCUGAGACGCGAAAGCGUGGGGAGCAAACAGGA